AAACCCUUUCCCUCCCUAUUCAGCUUCUCUCAUUUGCACCGAAAACCUAAUCCUAGUUAUUUUAUGAGGGGGCGACUGUUCACCUUGAUCUCUCCCCCAACCUCUUCUCAGGAACCUCUUUUCAUUCUCCCAAGUCCCAACUUCUUCUCCCUCUCUCUUUCUUCUUUUUCUGAUUUUUUCUCUCCACCUCUCCGAUUUCAUUAACUUUCUACCCCAACACGGAACUCCACUGUUCACUAUCACUGUCUUCUCCAUUUGAACCCAUUAGCGGCAACAGAAACUUGACAAUGGUAGUAAUUGAGUUCAAGAUUGACACCUUCGCAAUACUGCAUACACGAAUUUGACCACAAUAGCAACAGUUCUCAUCCCCAGCAUCGUGAAUCUAGGGCAUAUUACCGGUUACAGCUUUGAAUUUCAACCUCUACGGGGAAAAGAGGUAAAGUGUAUGUGAGCUUCAUCGAUUGAGAGCUAUUACGAUUUAUGAGGCAAGUAUUCGAACCAACAAUUAAAAUUGUGAAUAACUGGUUUAAGUCCAACCCCUGUUCUUUUGUCUUCUCCACCGAAUCUCUGCGCCAUUCGCUUCCUCUAUAACUCAUGAUGAUGCUCCCAUAGGUCAACAUCCUCUCUCCCUGUUCAAUCCAUAUGUAAAACACAGUCCCAAUCCAACCUUCAUCAAAUCCAUCAAGUUGGUAUUCUUCCUUCAAAGGGGUCUGUUUACAUCGCCACAACCGACCUAUGGUAGAGCACCGACAAUAAGAUAAGCAAGAAGAGAUUUCUGUUGUGGCUAACUCCCGUGCUAGAAGUGCAAGCUAGUUUGCUCUCCACCCCAACUGAGUAAAGGAGCCGUUGCUUUCUCUCACCGGAUGCUUAAUGUCACAAGCCCCAUUGCCAUUCAUUUUCAACGUCUGAGUAACCACCAUCCACCGACCCGCUCUCAUGAAAUUUAAUCAAUAGCUUCAGCCCUUUGUCACAUUCAAGGGGAGAUUUGAAGGCACAUCCCAACAUCCUACUACAGUUCUCAUAUUGGGAUAUACAUCGGUAUCAUCCUUCAUUAGAACAGGAGAUGAAGUAAUUAUUAAUGCAACAGAUGACUCAUAUAUCAGUAGGUUUUCAUUCAAUGAGUGACUCAAAGCAUGGUUGGAGACAAUGGAUAUUUCUUUUAUAUUUAGAAUUUUUUAUUUGAAGGUCAUCUUAUCUUAAAUAUGUAUCGAGGAAAAUUUGACAUUUGUAAUAUAUUUUUGUUGGUAACACAAUGGAUGUAUCAAAUUAUACAUGGCAUGUAGUUUUUUAAUACAAUAUAUAAUUUUCAUGUGA